rnacentral:lncRNA from 1 species
GGAAUCAGGAGUGUAGGUUCCUGUCUGGCUUCAGCACUGACUCUGGGAGACCUUGACCCAGUUCCAUUCCCUGGCAGGGUCUUCUUUCCUGUGAAAUGGAGCCAAUCGCUCCGCUGGCUGGACAAGUGCAGAGGAGGCCUCUUCCUGUAGCCAAGGAACUUGCCCCGGGCCUUCGGGGCCUUGGGCCCUCUUGGGCUCCAUAUCAGCUGACUGGGCCUGGCUGCCAGGAAGGGUGCUGGCUGCAGCCCCACCAGGAGCAGUAGCAGAGUGGACACACAGCCCAUAGUGGCUGAGCCGCCUCUGCAGUCCUGCUGGGGCCUUUGCUUGGGAGACACAAAGGCCCCUUGUCUAGCCUCCUGCGCCUAUUGUCUAAGCUGGGCCACGCACCUUCCAGGGACCUAAGUAUCCUCAUAGCCCGAGUUAUAGGGCCUAGGCCUUCAGGUUCCAGUGUGGGGAAGACCCUUUGGGCACUGGAACUCCAGCCAACCCUCUCUUUCUCUCCCCUCUUCCAAAACUUCAAACCUUAUACUGUCACUGCCAUUUAGCCCAGGAGAAACAAGUUUCUUUGACGCCAAGUUGAGGACCCAGGCUCGACCUUAGCCUUCAGCGGGCAAAUCUGGUUGGUGGCCUGCCCAGGGCUCUGCCCCUGCUCUGGCCCAAUUCCCUUACUUUACAGCUGAGGAAACUGCAUUCCUGAGACAUACAGCGUUUCAGCUACCACACAGGUGACUUAGUGAGGCUUGAGGAGCAGAGGAAGGGGCCUAGUCCUUGAACCCCAUAGCCUUGGGUUUAGAUUCCAGUCUUACCUCACCUGUCCUAUGACUCCUCUCUGAGCCUGAGUUUCCUCUUUUGCAAAAGGGAGUAAUACUAAUCUCUCACUUGCUGGCCUGUCUUAAAUUUUUUGAGAAAGGGCCUCACUCUGUCACCCAGGCCGUAGUGCAGUGGCAUGAUCACAGCACACUACAGUCUCUAUGUCCCAGGGCCAAGGGAUCCUCCCAUCUCAGCCUCCCAAGUAGCUGGGAAUACAGGCACAUGCCACCAUGCCGGGCUAAUUUGUAAAUUUUUUGUAGAGAUGGGAUCUCCCUGUGUUGACCAGGCUGGUCUCAAACUGCUGAGUCCAAGCAGUCCUCCUGCCUCGGCCUCCCAAAGUGCUGGGAUUCCAGGCAUGAGCCCCUGCACCCUAUCCUUAAAUUCUUUUUUCAUGGUUUUAUUCAUCAUCCCAAGCUGUCUGGGCUCAAGGCGUUAGUAUCCCAUGCAAUGAGGGCCUAGAAGUUUCGUCUCCUGACAUCCUCCCCAGGCAGUCCCAUCGCUGGGUUUCAGAGGCCAUCAAGCCCAGCAGGCUUCAAAUCCCCCAACAGAGUCCCCCUUACCUGGGGCUGCCUGGGGAACUCCCAUCCCACUUCAACUUGAGCACCUUUGCCUUUGUAUUUUUAUUUAUUUACAUUUCCUGGUAAGAAUUUGUUGCAAGCACAUGAAAGAUUUUGUGGCUGAAGUAAUGUAAAACCAUUGAUCAAACCGGAAAUUGAGACACAGCCAGCGUCACACAACAGGCCAUCUGAAAGGCUGGAAUAGCAUCGAGGGAGUCUCCCUGGAACCAAGCAGCCAAGGCAGGCUAAUGGUGAAGGCCCAGGCACAGUAAUGGUCCCCUGGAGUCAUGAGUUGCUUAAAGACUGGGAUGCUUUCUAAGAAACGUGUCACUUUGCGAUUUCAUCAUUGUGUGAACGUGAACACAAACCCAGAUGGUAUAGCCUACUACACACCUAGGCUAUAUGGUAUAGCCUAUUGCUCCUAGGCCACAAACUUGUACCUGUACUGAAUACUAGAGGCAAUUGUAAUACAAUGGUAAGUAUUCGUAUAUCUAGACAUAUCUACACAUAGAAAAGGUACAGUAAAAACACAGUAUUAUAAUCCUAUGGGACC